GACCCAGUGGCGAAGUGCUAUCGCAUCCGCUUACCUUUCGGUGUGGAUAAAAUCUUUCUGCGGGAGACACCCGUUCGAUUCGGGUCUGGGCUA